UACGUAGGGGGCAAGCGUUGUCCGGAUUUAUUGGGCGUAAAGAGCGUGUAGGCGGCCAUACAGGUCCGUUGUGAAAACUCGAGGCUUAACCUCGAGACGUCGAUGGAAACCGUAUGGCUAGAGUCCGGAAGAGGAGAGUGGAAUUCCCGGUGUAGCGGUGAAAUGCGCAGAUAUCGGGAGGAACACCUAUGGCGAAGGCAGCUCGCUGGGACGUUACUGACGCUGAGACGCGAAAGCGUGGGGAGCAAACAGG
rnacentral:rRNA from 1 species